rnacentral:rRNA from 1 species
GUAGGUGGCAAGCGUUGUCCGGAAUUAUUGGGCGUAAAGCGCGCGCAGGCGGUUCUUUAAGUCUGAUGUGAAAGCCCACGGGCUCAACCGUGGAGGGUCAUUGGAAACUGGAGAACUUGAGUACAGAAGAGGAAAGCGGAAUUCCACGUGUAGCGGUGAAAUGCGUAGAGAUGUGGAGGAACACCAGUGGCGAGGGCGGCUUUCUGGUCUGUAACUGACGCUGAGGCGCGAAAGCGUGGGGAGCAAACAGGAUUAGAUACCCUGGUAGUCCACGCCGUAAACGAUGAGUGCUAAGUGUUAGGGGGUUUCCGCCCCUUAGUGCUGCAGCUAACGCAUUAAGCACUCCGCCUGGGGAGUACGGCCGCAAGGCUG